rnacentral:tRNA from 1 species
CGGGGCGUAGCGUAGCCCGGUAGCGCGCCUGCUUCGGGAGCAGGAGGUCGCUGCUUCGAAUCCAGUCGCCCCGA